GAAGGUGUAUCUAGAAAGACAAAUUAGAGCUUGAAAAGUAAAGCAUUUCAUUUACAUUGAAAAGUAUAUUGUGUAAUUCAAUUUAAUUUGAUAAUAAUAGAAAUUUAUUAAUUUUUUUUUGUUUAAAUAAUUAUUUUAAUAAAAUUAAUUUUAAGUUAGUUAAUUUUUUUGUAUAAUAUAUAGAUCAAAUAAUUUAUAUAAUAGUUAAUUAGUAUUGUAAAAGAAUAUUGAAAUAUAUGAAAAAGUUUUAAAUUAAAAGUAAAUUUUAUAUAUUGUACCUUGUGUAUCAGGGUUUAUUAAUUAAAAGUUAAAAAUUUAAUUUUUCUCGAAUUUGAGGGAGUUAAUUUAUUAUUUAAUUUUUUGUUUCAUAAAAAUUUAAAAUAAUAAAUUAGAAAUGAAAUGUUAUUCGUUCUUAAAUAUAUCUAGUUUUUUAAGAAAUAAAUUAAAUUUAGAUUAUUAAUAAAUAAUUAUUUAUUUAAAUAAUAAAUUAUUAUUAAUAGUUAAUAUUUUAAGGGAUAAGCUUUAAAGUAAGUUUUAUAAUAAUUUUUUAAUUUGAAAAUUAUAGAUUUAGAAAUAGUCAUUAAUUAUAAAAAUGUUAUAAUUUAUUUUAAAUUAAAAAUAAUUUUUAUUAAUUUAAGUUUUUAUUAAAAUAAUUUUUAAAAUUAUGUAAGAAUUAAAAUAAUGAUAAAAUUAGUAUAUUUAAUUGUUUUAAAUAAAUAGAUUGAAAGGUUAAAUUAAGGAACUUGGCAAAUAAAUACUCGCCUGUUUAACAAAAACAUGUCUUUUUGAAUAUAAUUUAAAGUCUAAUCUGCCCACUGAAAAAUUUUAAAGGGCCGCGGUAUU
rnacentral:rRNA from 1 species